AAGAAGAAAACAAAAAGCUGAAGGCUGCUCAUUUGUGCCAAUAAAGGCAUCAGAAUUGCCUUGAAUACGGAUCUUCUUUUUCAGCCAAAAAUGCCCUCCAGAAUCCUACUUCAAGUCCAAAUAUGAAAGUUACAAUUGGAAUUCAAAAUCCCGUUUAGAUCUCAGUCUUUUUUAGAAGAAAAAUCAUAAAAGAAAUAAAAAAAUAUAGAAAACUGAAAACUCAAAAAAAACUUUACUGUUCCAUUAAAAUUGGAAGUUGAUUUCAAUUUCUGGUUACUGAUUAACCUUCUGCAAUUGUUACUUCUGUCGAUUGAAGGUACAGAAUCAUUUCGAGAUGAAAUUAGUGUUCUAAAUCAGGUUUGAGUGUUUUUUUCUGGUUGUCUCUGCAUUGACAUUCAUUUUUAGGUCGUUAGCUGCUGUGUGGAGUUCAUUUGCUGGUUUUCCUUUUGAUUUGAAUCACUCCUGAACUGCUGGUCGUUGCUGUUGAAUCUGCUGCUAUGUUGAAUAGGUGUUUUACAUGAAGCUGACCUCUUUUUCUUCUUCUUUUAAACGUUGAAUACCAGGUACACAUUUUGAAUCACCUCGAUGUAACUUGAAUUGAUGUUGAAUUGGAAGUUUUCACCAGACCUGCAUUUGGGUGUUAUCUGUUGUCUCUGAUUCACUAAAUGUUAAAUGAAGUAGAAGUAGUUGAUAUUAGCUCUGUUUUGUAUUUUAUUGAAUAAUAUAAAUGUGAUUGUGUAAUUGGAACUACCUUAGGCUGCUUUGGACUGUGUCAAUUAUUGUUGGUAACAGACUGUUAUAUCAUCCAGGAAACAUAUGUUCAGUAGCUAGUCGAACCACUAAUUGUCAUUAGCUAUAAUUAGUUUAGUGUGUUUGUUCAGUUUAAACUUUUAAAGUUAGAAAAUAACUCUAGUUAGCAUUCUCCUUUUGAAGCUAUGAAAUUGUGCUUGCAUCAAUGGUUGUUGACUGAAUUUGUAAUAACAUGCACGUAAAUGUCGAGCUAGGACAUUUUUGUAUGGGACUAGUUAACAAAUAUCUAAUGAACAGUUAAUUGAUUCAUGCUUUCCUAGUCGAAUUCAAAACUUGUGGGUGUUUAGGUCGUUGAUUAACGUUGGAAUUGAUAAAUCAUAGUUGAUAUUGCUAAUUGUUGGUGGGAAGCAUUACUGAAAUCAAGCACGAUUAGUUUGUCUUUUUUCACGUAAAAAGUUGAACAUAGUUAUUCUGCCCAGCUAAUGUAAAUUGCAUUUUUUUAGUUUGAAACUCUGUGAUUUCAAUUGUCCUUGUCAAUUAGUAGAUAAUAGUUAGCAUCCAAUUAAAUCGUGGGUCUGUUAGCUUCAAGGGAUCGAUCAUUUGAUCUCCCUAGGCAGCCUAUUUUGCUUUGUCUUUUCGGGCUUCCUCAAGGCCCACUCGCUGCAAUUAAUUCACAUACAGAACCAUUUGGUUCAUAAGUUGGGACUGUUUCAGAGAUUUCAAUUCAAGAUUUAGUAUAAUGUAAGUUUGGGCUUUGAGUUAGGUAGAGGGUUCAAAUUAAGGGGCUCCCUUCUUGUUUGAAUCCGGACUUAAGCUCGAGGCCCGAAGCUUAUAAUAUUGAUCGACUAGGAUUUUUUCAUUGUUAGAGAAAAAAUAGAAAAUCAUAGUUUCUUUUAGGCUUUCCCAUUUAAAAUAAAGUGAUACGAGCCUCGUGCAAUAAAAUAUAAUAUUGUGGGGCCCUCAGUAAAGUAAAAAAUACUUAGAAAUUCGGGACGAGCUGUUUAGCGAAUUUCACGGCGAUCCCAAAAAAUAACAAUGCGUUAGUCUUUUUGCGUUAGUCUUUUUAGAUACGAUUUUAAUAAAAUUACAUUCCUAAACUUGGGUGUUCAUUUCAUGCGACCCAAAUCAAAUCCCAAAACUUUGAAUAGAGUUGCUUAGGAUUGCGGGUUCAUUUCAUGUGACGUGAUCCGAAGGCACUCUUCAAACAAUGUUCAACUUUCUUUUGAGAAAUACAUAUUGAAUAAAGGCGGAUAAAAAUAAAAAUUGGCACAUAGGUUCUUCAUAUAAUAAAAUCAGAUAAAUAAGCUACAACAGUUCAGAGGACGUGCUAGAAUCACGGAACUCGGGAAUGCCUAACACCUUCUCCUGGGUUAACAGAAUUCCUUACUCGAAUUUCUGAUUUGCGGACUGUCAAACACGGUCAUAUUUUCCCCAGUUCGAGAUUCAACUGGUGACUUGGGACACCAUUAAUCUCCCAAGUGGCGACUCUAAAAUAUUAAUAACUAAAUUCCAUUCCGAUUAUUCUUUAAUUAAAAAACCUUCUUAAUGCCCUUGCGGGUGUAGUGAAAAAGGAGGUGUGACAGCUUUGGCGACUUUGUUGGGGACUGGACCUAGAAAUUUUGUUCAAGGUUCAGAAUUCGAGCUUAGAUAAAUUGUUGUGUUUGGCUUUAUCUAAUUUUGUUACAUGCUUUGUGCCUAAUAUGCUAAUCGAAUGCUUUUACCGCUUUGAUAAUAUGUGAACUGUAUCUAAACUGUGCCAAAAUUCAUCUCCUCUCUGAGUCUUCUAAAUCAUGAAGAAUGGUGCAUUUCAUGUGACUUCUUUUCUGUAUAGUGUCUAAUUCCCAAUUUAGAACGGGUUUGGAUAGUUGCAAAGCCGGCGCAGCUUCUGUAUUCCCGGUAAGCUGCCUCCCCUUGGCCCGAGCUGUCCGCUCGGGUAAUCCAGGUCUAGAACAAACACCCAUGUUCUGAACCUAGAGUAACUCAACUUCAUGCUGGAUCCCUAGUAGGAACUCUUAUCUGCAUCAUGUGCAUUUUUUACUUAGGGGACUCAACAAAGGGGUUGGGUCCUUCUAGGACUAGCAACCUGGAAUGGAACAGACCAUCUUGAUGCAUCCUAUUUGUGUUAUGUGCAUUUAUUUGUUUCGGACCUGCAUGUUGACCGGCUUCUAAAUCUCGGGAAUAUUGGAAAAUUGAGAAAAGGAGAAAAAGAGAGAAAUAAUGGUAUAAAGAGUUAACUGCUCUUUUUCGAAAGAAAAAACAAUGCCCAAAUACUGUCGAAACUCUGCCUAAAUUUUGAAAAAUGGAAAAGAAAAUAUUUUUUACUCAGAAAAGCAAAAAAAAAAGAAAAAGAAGAAGUUAAAAAGAGUCUUUUGUUUUAGUGUGUCUUGUUUUCAAAAAUGGAAAAGGAAAAAUAGUUUGUUUUGCCAUGAAAAAUGAUAAGGAAAAAGUGUCUUGAUUUUGGUUUUCAAAAUAGCUUAUUUGCCAACGGAGAAGAAAACAUGUUGUUUUCUUGAUUGGUGAAAAAGAAAAAGAAAAAGAGUCUUUUAUUUUUAGUUUGAAAAAAUAGGUUGUUUUCUCGUUUGUUGAAAAAGAAAAAGGAAACGAGUCAUUUAUUUUAUUUUUAGUUUGGAAAAAUAGGUUCUUUUAUUGUUCGUUGAAAAAAAAAGGAAAAAGAGUCUUGUUUUUAAAAGUAGUUUUUUUACUUGAAAUGCCAAAAAUGAAAAUGAAAUAGAGUCAUGUUUUAAAAUAGUUUGGUUAAUUUGCCCGAACUACGCAAGUUUGAUUCUCAUAGGGCGUGAGAUACAUAGGCAAGCCUCAUAGGGUCCAACCUCCCCUUUUGCAAAAAUAGCCAAAAAAUAUCGAAAUUUUAAUUUUCGUCAUAAAUAAGUCGGGCGUGCCAUUUGUGUCAAAAAUAGCCGAAUAUACCCGAAAUAGACGCCGAAAGGCUAACAUUGCAUGAAUGGCCACUUUUGGUCAGGUUUUGAGUUUUGACCCUCACAGCCUUAAAACCUUCGUUCCCGAGGCGCUGAAAGGCGGUGUUUUACAAUAUCGGGUCAUUUAUUUUAAUUUUAAAAACAAGGAAAGAGACAUAAAUAGGUCAGAUGAAGCCAUUCUUGUUAAAAAUAGUCGAAUGUCCCUAAAAGUGCGCUGGAAGGCUGCUUUUGAAAAAACAGUUACCUUUUAGUUAGUUUUCAAGAUUUUGGCCGGAUAGCCAACGUAGCCUUAAAAUCUUCGUUCCCGAUGUGCUGAAAGGCUGUGAUUUGAAACCAGGACUUUUAUUUUAAUUUUUAAAUAAGAAAAGAGUCAGUAGUGAAUACCAUUUGGAAUUUGGUCAAAUAAGCCGAUCCAGCUUCGGCGGCGUCUUAAAUCGUUCUUGCCGAAAUAGCCCUAGAGUAUCUUUCAGUUGUCGAAAGAUAUUUCCGUAAAAGAAUGGAUAAGUUUGUGAAGUUUCAUAAAAUAAUCCUCCACGGCCUCAAAAUUCAUGUGAAAUUGGGAAGGGUCCACAUUUGCAAAAAUAGCCAUUUGGUUAAAAUUGGCAGAUAGGGGAAGGAAUCUGUCAGUUGGUUCUUCAAUUUGUAUUUGUGAGUAGAGUAUGCAGGUUGUUUGAUUUUCGGAUUUGUAUUUCGUUUGAGUCUGUUAGUGUGUUUAAGUUUGUCAGAUUUUAAAUCAUUGUAAUCAAAAUGUGUUUUAGUGUGAAAAUUGAAAGUUCCAGAAUAGGAUUAUUAUUUUUUACCUUUUAUCUACACGAACUACGUUUGCGGAGUCAUGAUACGUAGGUAAUCUCCAUAGGAUUCGACCAUAACCGAAUGAAAAAAUAAGAGCAAAAACAAGAGAGAAAAGGAAAGAAAAAGAGCGAAAAAACAAUAAAGAAAAGAGAGAAAAUAAAACAACCGAGAAAGGGAGAGAAUUGGAAUAAGAGAAAACAAAGGCAAGAGGUAAUAGAAGAAAAAGAAGAAAAAGAGAAGGAUUGCAAUCGGAAAUAAGAAAGGGCCGAGAUGACGCGUGCGACCGAUCGAAUGCGUAAUAGGAACUGUUAACUGCUUAGGUGCAUUCAUUCCCCAAAUGUGUGGUUACCAAUAUGUUAAAUGCACUAGCGCUAACGUGAUGGCCUUAUGUUGUUAAAUUCAUAGCAGAAGGGUGGUUGGCUUGUGGUUCAUAAGGUAACUCAUCCAUACAACACAAGGUCGAAAGCAAGGCAGUCAUGGCUGGCAAAAGGGUUAAACGCAUAUGUUACUGAUCCGUCUAGGGGAAUUGUUAAAUCAGAAUCUGAGUUGAAAGAAACGGUUUUGAGGUUGAAAAGACAGAUAGUCGGAAUGCACAAAGCUUGGACCAUUGGGUAUCCUCCGCUAUCAAUCCCCGAUGCCCAACAUUAUGCUCCAGAACCAAUUGUCAAGGUCUCAAGUCCAUACCAUCACGCUCUUCAUUUUGAGUCUCCCAAUGAGACUAUGAAGCUUGCUAAGACAGUGGAGAAAGAUGAGAUAUCCAGAAAGGUGGAAGGUUUUAAGAUGACGAAGUAUAGUUUGUAUGAUGGGAUGGGAGAUCUAUUAGAGCACCUGAGGGAUUAUUGUAAUAAAACAAGGAAUCUCGGCAAGGAAGAUGAGUUGUUAAUGUAGCAUUUUAGUGAGAGCCUGACUGGGGCAGCUUGGAAUGGCAUGAUUGUCAAGAUGUCGGGAAGUGGAACACGUUGGGCGACAUGGCUCAAUAUUUCGUGCGAUAUUUUCUCUGCAAUAAAGACGUUGUACCAAACCAUUCCUUCCUAUCUUAGAGAAAAGAAACCCAAGGAAAUUUUUAGGGAAUUUUGGGUCAAACAGAACGAACAAGUUGCAAAUGAUAUUCCUUCCGUUGAUAAAAAAGAUAUCAUGGAGCCCCGCCGAUGACCAGGCCUAGUGGUCGUUCCUGCCAAAUGACUUCAACCUCAGCUCCAACCCCAAUCCCGUCCCCAAUCUCCACAUAAUCUACCUCAGCAUUAUCCUUCCAACAAUGACCGGUCAUAUGUCUAACCACCAGGUCAUUCCCUCCACCUGCGACAGGGUCCAGUGGUCAUUCUUGCUAAACCCUCUCAGACUCGACGUCAGCCCCACGGAUAUCCCUGUGCACCAUAUCUUCCACAUCCACAAGGCCCACAAUGGCCCUCACUACGCCCACAAAUGUCUCACCCACCCUCACGAGUCUGCCAGAAAACCCCUGGUUCAGGUUUCCGGCCCAAUCAAGCAUGUAGGGAUAAGAGGUUGCAGAAAAAGAAAGCCUACACUCCAUUGGGAGAGUCAUACGCCAAUCUAUUUCAGAGGCUAAGGAGUUCGGGCGUGUUGAAGCCUAUUCGGAUAAAAAUACCAAACCCUCUUCCAAAGAUGUUUGAUUUUUGCUAAUGGUGCACAUACUGCUCAAAUGCCCCGGGACACGACACAGAAAAGUGUUGGAGGCUGAAGAAAGCAAUUCAGGAGCUUAUUGAUGUAGGUGGCAUUGUUAUUCCAAAUCCAAACGCAGCAUACACAAGCCAAUGUCCAUCGCAUGUGCAAAAUGAGACGCACAUGGCAGAUAUGAUUUACUUGGAAAAGACAUUUGAAGUUCUUAGUAUUGUUGAUGUAGAAUUCAGUGGCUAAGAUACCAUGCUUGGUAAUUGGGAAGACGCUCUUUUCUUGGUCAGCCGGCGGAGUCUUGAUGGUUCAUAUUGUUGUCAUUUCUGUUGUCCGGGUUACUUGUAGGGUUGUGAUCCAGAUAUUGUCUUGUGACUUAAACCUUCUUAUCCUUUCAUUUUGUCUGGCUUGUUUGGUCGUAGUGGUUUGUUUAGUGUUGGCCAGGUUUUUUGCAGGUUCAUUCUAGGGUUGUACUCCAGUUUGUUUUGUUUGUUUUUGUCAUUUGAACUGUUUCAUUGUUUUUCUCAUGCAAAUUCCUAUCUUUUGUUACUCCCAAUCAUUUUCUUUGUUUUGUUUGUUUCUAUCCUCUUGUUUUGUCUUUCGCUGGUACUAGUGACAUGACAUGCACGCAUAAUUCUUAGUCUGAUCUUUAAAAGUUACGUUAGUCGGGAAGCAAUGAAACCAUUUUGAAGACAAUGGGGGCACUUGACGAAAUAAGAACAGAUUUGGAUGUUUUGAGAUAAUUUGAUGCCCAAACCAUGUGAAACUAGGUCAAAUAGAACAUAAAAAAAGGUAAAAGCCAUUUGGCCAAAUUAACAGGGGGCCGGUCGUGGUAAUAAGAGUAAGAGUGUUGGUCAACGGCACACUAUAUUUGACAGAUGUAGAAGAAAACAUGUGGAAAUGACUGUCAAUUCCGAUGCAGUCAAGAUAUAUUGUGUUUGGUUUCUUUGUUUUGAUCGUAUUUGUUUUGUAUUUGGCGUAUUUUGAAGUUUGAAAUGACGAAUGUAUUUUGUUCUACUAUGUAAACACUUUACCCCUUUGUCACCCCCUUUGAGCCUUAUUUAUUUUCUUUCAUACCCUAUUUCGGAAUCAAUGACACAAUUAAGAAGUGCAAGUACCGAAAGAAAAGAGAAAGAAGGAAAAAAAGAAAAGAGAAAAAAAGGAAAGAAAGAAAGAAAGAAAGAGAAAAGAGAAGGAAAAGGAAAAAAGGGAGAAAAAGAAAAGAAGAACAUAAAAAAAGAAGAGAAAGAAAAUCACAAAAACAAAGUAAAUUUUAUGACGUGAAAUAUGUUUGAUUUGAUCACGAAAGGGUAGCUAGGUAGCCUCUUUGAGGUUCAGUCUCAUCGAAAUAAAGAUCCAAAAGUCCCCAAGCAAGAAACUGGGGCAGAAGUUGUGAUUUUUUAAAGAAAUUGGAUUCCAAAAUUUGUAAUUUUAACCCAUUUUGAAAUUGUUUUGAGCCUUUUAUACCCUUUUUUCUAACCCCAUCCAAAAGCCACAUUACGGUCUAAAUAAAGACCUUUCGAUCAGUCUUUGAGCAUUUCCAAGUCAUGCAAUCAGAGGUGAAUCAUAUCAGGUGAAACACUCUGGUCCAAACAAGGAAAAUGGAAAAAUGAGAAUGUCUUGUUGGUGAAAACCCUCACCAACAAGAUUGGAGAAAAGAGAGCAACAACAUGGUUUCUUCAACUUUUUAAUUUUCCAUCUCAUUAGUAUUAUUCUAUGUAAUAUAAUCACAGAGCAUGUAAUAAACUCUGUGAUGAUCAUACUUUUCUUAGUUCUUGCUACUUCUUUUUUUUUACUUGCUUGUUAGAUCUUGAGGAUUUUAUUGGCCUCAACAGGAUUAAUAAGGUAAGGUUUACGCCGGUUGUUGUUAUAUGGGUAACAAUACCGGUGCUAGUCUCCCCUUAUCUUAUUUUUCCUGUUUGUUGUAAUUUUAAAUUUCUUUUUAUUAAUGAAAAGUAGCCGUAAGUGCUCGCCUAGUGGAUUGCCAAAAAAACCUCACAGGAACCGUAAGGCAAUGAAAACUGAGUGAAAUAAUAAAUGAGAGAGUCUUAUUGGUGAAAACCUUCACACGCACCUUGAGACAAUGGUAAGUUGAGAAAAAGAACAAAUGAGAAAGGCUUGAUGUCGAAAACCCUUCGGGCACAACAAGUCAAAUAAGGACUUUAAAUCAAAUUGGACAAGCAGAGCAUUAAAGCUCAGUUUCGCAACGAAAGAGCUGAACGUCAGGUUUAAUUGGCGGAAUGUCUGCAGGUGCAUGUCAUGGUCAUUAAAGUUGGUUUCAACAUCCGAUAGGUUUCCACUUUGUAGUUUUCUCUUUAGGAAUCAUCUCUUUCCUCUGUCCUCCCCUCCGUCCCUCUGUUUUGUUCACUUCCUCUUUCUGAGUCUGUUUUGAUAUAACAAGUGAGAAAUGACUUCAAAAUUCACCACCAGCUUUCCAACUGCACAAAUUGGAGUUUGGCUAGCAUAUCAAAGUAUCACAAGUCCAGAAAACAACAAAGGCAUCGGGCUGGUAAUAAUCAAUAUACUUUAGGGAUCCUGGUGAAACACAAAAGUUUGGUAGAUGCCGAUUCAGAAGUAAUGCAACAGUUAGAGGGUAUUGGGUUUGAACGAAAAAUAGAUAUUCUCUGUGACAAGGGUCAAGCGAAAGAGCAAUAGACUUCAAGGUCAGGGGCCAGAGGGCUCAAUUUUGAAGAACAACGUAAUGUGGGUGGAAAUCAACAUGCUUUGGGUUGAGGCACAAAGGUUGGUUAAAGUCAGUACAGAAGCAGUGAAACAAACAAAUGCUAAAGGGUUUUGAAUGCAGAAGAGGUAUGUUUUGUGAUAAUAAGGAAAAAGGAAGUGGUUAAAAAAACAAGCGGGGUUUUCAAAUGGAAAUGAAAGUUAUCAGCAAGUAAGGGAACAACGGACCUCCAGGACAAGGCCAUCGGAUAAGCCAAGAAACAAAAACAUAGAGCAGAGACUGAUGGACGUAAUUUGGAAAUUCAUAUAAGACUGAAAGAUCAGGAAUAUGCCAGUUCACUAGCAAUGCCCCAAAAAGAAGAUAUUGGAUCUGAACAGGAAAAAGGGUAUUUCGGUGACACCGAUGCGAAGAAAGUGGUUAAUCAGUAAACAUGCAAGAUCUUCAAGAAGAAUCAACUGUCAUAGAAAACAUAUGGGGUCGGAUAAGAAGACUAGAAGUAAUAAUUGAGAGGUAGUCGUCAAGAAGGGCGGAAGUUAUCAGCCAAGUUUCAAAGAUGGUCGGAAAAACGUGGAGCAUGGGAAGGUGAAAAGGAAAGCCCUCCCAAGCAGGAGAACCGCAACCAACCACCAUGUUUUAAACUAAUAAAAUCUUCUUUGAUUUAAAGUAGGAACAGGAAAUGUUAUUGAUGGCAGAAAAUAUGCCACAAGGAAGAUUAUCAAAUUGAGGCAGAAAUUUUUUUGUCGUUUUAAAAUUUUUCUUAAAGGCGGGUACCAAUCUAAAGAAUGUAAGUUAACUCAAGUGAGGGAGAGAAAGAUAACACAGGUUUUUAGGAAGUAAUUUUUGAAGUUAGGAGCCCGUCCAUAUAGCAGAGGAAUACAUUUCAGUCUUUAAAUUUUUAAGUUUUGAAGUUGGGAGCCCACCCAUAUAACGAGAGAAUAAAUUUCAGUCUUUAAAUUUUUAAGUUUUUAAGUUGGGAGCACGCCCAUACAGCAGGAGAAUACAUUUUUAUGUUAUGAAGUUGGGAACACGCCCAUAUAACAAGGGAAUACAUAUUAGUCUUUAAAUUUUAUGUUUUGAAGUUGGGAGACCGCCCAUAUAACAAGGGAAUAUAUUUCAGUCUUUAAAUUUGAAGUUUUGAAGUUGGGAGCCCGCCCGUAUAACAAGGGAAUAUAUUUCAGUCUUUAAGUUUUAAGUUUUGAAGGUGGGAGCUCGUCCAUAUAACAAGGAAAUACAUUUCAAUCUUUAAAAUUUAAGUUUUGAAGUUGGGAGUCCGCCCAUAUAACAAGGGAAUACAUUUCAUUCUUUAAAAUUUUAAGUUUUGAAGUUGGGAGCCCGCCUAUAUAACAAUGGAAUACAUUUCAGUCUUGAAAUUCUUAAGUGUUGAAGUUGAGAGCCCGCAUAUAUAACAAAGGAAUACAUUUCAGUCUUUGAAUUUUAAGUUUUGAAGUUGGGAGCCCGCCCAUAUAAAAAGGAAAUACAUUUUAGUCUUUGAAUUUUAAGUUUUGAAGUUGGGAGCCCGCCCAUAUAACAAGGGAAUACAUUUCAGUCUUUGAAUAAUAACAAGGGAAUAAAUUUCAAUCUUUAAAUUUAUAAGUUUUUGAAGUUGGGAGCCCGCCCAUAUAACAAGGGAAUACAUUUUUAUGUUUUGAAGUUGGCAGCCCGCCCAUAUAAUAAGGGAAUACAUUUCAGUCUUUAAAUUUUAAGUUUUGAAGUUGGUAGCCCCCCCAUAUAACAAGGGAAUACAUUUCAUUCUUUAAUUUUUAACUUUUGAAUUUUGGAGCCCGCCCAUAUAACAAGGAAAUAUAUUUCAUUCUUUAAAUUUGAAGUUUUGAAGUUGGGAGUCUACCCAUAUAAUAAGGGAAUACAUUUCACUCUUUAAAUUUUAAGUUUUGAAGUUGGGAGCCCGCCCAUAUAACAAGGGAAUACAUUUCAGUCUUUGAAUUUUAUGUUUUGAAGUUGGGAUCCCGCCCAUAUAAUAAGGGAAUACAUUUCAGUCUUUGAAUUAUAAGUGUCGAACUUGGGGGCCCGCCCAUUUAACAAUGCAAUACAUUUCAGCUUUUAAAUUUUAAGUUUUGAAGUUGGAAGCCCGCCCAUAUAACAAGGGAAUACAUUUCAGCUUUUAAAUUUUAAGUUUUGAAGUUGGGAGCCCGCCCAUAUAACAAGGUUUCAGUUUUUAAAUUUUACGUUUUGAAGUUUGGAGCCCGCCAAUAUAAUAAUCGAAUACAUUUAAGUCUUUAAAUUAUUAAGUGUUGGUUGGGAGCCCGCCCAUAUAACAAGUGAAUAUAUUUUAGUCUUUGAAUUUUAAGUUUUGAAGUUGGAAGUCCGCCCAUAUAACAAGUGAAUAUAUAUUAGUCUUUGAAUUUUAAGUUUUGAAGUUGGGAGCCCGCCCAUAUAACAAGGGAAUACAUUUCAGUCUUUAAAGUUUAAAGUUUGAAGUUGAGAGCCCGCCCAUAUAACAAUGCUAUACAUUUCAGUCCUUAAAUUUUAAGUUUUGAAGUUGGGAGCCCGCCCAUAUAAUAAGGGAAUACAUUUCAGUCUUUAAAUUUUAUGUUUUGAAGUUGGGAGCCCGCCGAUAUAACAAGGGAAUACAUUUUAGUUUUUAAACUUUAAGUUUUGAAGUUUGGAGCCCGCCCAAAUAACAAGGAAAUACAUUUCAGUCUUUUAAAUUUUAAAUUUUGAAGUUGGGAGCCCGCCAUAUAACAAAGGAAUAUAUUUCAGUGUUUAAAUUUUAUAUUUUGAAGUUGGGGUCCGCCCAUAUAAAAAGGAAAUACAUUUUAGUCAUUAAAUUUUAAGUUUUGAAGCUUCGAGCCCGCCCAUAUAAUAGAGUAAUACAUUUUAGUCUUUAAAUUUUAAGUUUUGAAGUUGGGAUCCCGCCCAUAUAACAAGUGAAUACAUUUCAGUCUUUACAUUUUUAAGCUUUGAAGUUGGAAGCCUGCCCAUAUAACAAAGGAAUACAUUUGAGUCUUUACAUUUGUAAAGUUUUGAAGUUGGAAGCCCUCCCAUAUAAUAGAAGAAUACAUUCAAGUUCAAGUUUAGAAAUCAGGUAUCACAAUUCAAGUUUUAUUUUUUAAUUCUUAUUAAUAUAUGGUAAUAAGCACCCUGUUUUCCAAACUGGGGCAUAAAGUUUUUCUUUGUUUUGUCUAUUUUUGUUAUGUCGGGAGCUUGAAGUUCAAAUCCAGCAGUCGGGAGCCCACCCGCAUAACAAGGGAAUACAUUCAAGUCCAAGUUCAGAAGUUGGGAGCCCACCCACACAACAAUGGAAUGCAUUCAAGUUCAGAAAUUUGAAGAAAAAGAACUACAUCUCAGUUUGCAAAUUGGAAAUGGCAAUAAUGGAUUUUAUCAAGAGAACACAAGACAAUAAGGAAACAAGGAAGUACAAGAGCAAGUUUGAAGAAUUUCGAUAGGACCUUCGUAAUUCAUAGUUCAUAGCUUAGGCUAGCUUCUUUUUAUUUUGACAUGGUGUAAUAAGGGAGGUCAGCAAGCAGUAGCAGCAGCAAUCGUAGUGAAAUCACAGCUCCUGGUAGUCCCAGCUACCAGACACUCCCAAAUUACACUGACCAGAUUCCUGUUCAGCUCUGGAUAUGUUAGGCAACCUCUGAAGCAGGGUGCGGUCAAAACUUUUCAGAAAUUCUUCACAGGGAAUAUUCAAACGGGAAAAAAUUGCUCGUAUUUACUCACUUAUCUUUACCUGAAAAUCUUUCAUGUUUUCAAGCAAAGAGGGGCAGCUGUGAGCACGUGAUUCAAACAAAAUAAUUUCUUUAUUAUUUUUACAAUUUUUGUGAAUUUUGUGAUAUUUUUUGAUAAUUGUUGCAUUUUAUUUGUGCAUUUUAAUUCAUAUGAAAAAUACAAAAAAAUAUAUUUGAAUCUAGGAUUUCAUUUCAUAUUUUAGUAUCAAUUAGGGUUAAUUUUUUUAGAACAAAAUAUGAAGAAAAUAACAAAAAUAGUUCGCUUUUGUAUUUUUAGUUAUUUAAUUGUGAACUCGUCCCGAAAUAGUCUUUAAAAAAAUAAUUUUAAGAAUUAAAGAGUUUAAUUUUGGAAUGUAAUAGGAUUUUUUUAUUUUAGUUUUUGCAUCUUUAUAAAAUUAAAAAAUACUACAAAAAUACAAAUUGAAAAAAAAACAAAAGAAAAUAAAAGGAAAUAAAAGGAAAAUAUUAUUAGAAGUGUGGUCUUAUGUAAAGGCCCAAAUUGGGAUGUCCCUAUUGAAAAUCCGCUGGCCUAAUUUGUUGUCAACCAAACCGACCCAAUUAGUCCCCCUACCCGGUCCAGUUAUUCACUACCCAAAUGACAGCAUUUAAUUUCAUUCAAUCUAAGCCAUCCACUGAUAUCAUCCAACGACCACAGUUCCUCCUCAAGAUUUUAAUAAAACUGUCUGAAUUUCCCUUAACCCUAAACGACCAACAUCUCCUUCCUCGUAUCUCUCUCUAACUCCGCCGGCGAAGUCGCCACUGGCGAACGCCACCUACGCUAACGGCCACCAAAAUUACACACCGAUUCUCCUUAUUCCCCUCUUUCCAUUACUACCCUUGGUUUCCCUCGAAUCUUUCCGGAGCUCGUCGAAUCUUCGUUGGAAGUUUUCAAUCCACGAUUCUACUUCGUCCAAAUACCUCCAAAUCAACACCAUAGAUCCUCUUCACCACCCUCAUCCCAAAACACCAAUUGAUUUUCUUCAAAUCCUACUGUAACUCCUCAUAGUGAAUUGGUCAUCAAUCGAGCUUUGUUUCUGCCAGAGUUGGUCGUGUUCUAAUUUGGAAAUCUGACCAGAGUCUCGACGUGAGUCAGUGAGUUUCUUAGUUUAUUUUUGUAUUUUUCCUUCCAUGUUAGCUUUAUGUUAGUAAUGAAUUAGGAUUCAGUAUUAGGUAUCUAGGUUUAAUAAUUGAAGUUGCUCUUAUUUAGAUUUUGGUCAAAGUUAUGCUAACUGUUAGUUUCGUCAUUAGUUAAGCAUUAAUCAUGUUCAUUGUUUAGUUUAGUUUACAUCUUUAUGAUCCGUUUCUUCAAAUUGAUAAAUAGAAGUUUGUGUUGGUAAGUUUAAUUCUCAUUUUAAUUGAUUAAUUGUUUCACUUUGAUUUAGUUGUCAAGAGUAGUUCCCUAAUAGGUUAAAUUGUUCUUUAAUUUUUUAAGGUUGUUUCAAUUUGAUUACAUACGGUCAACUGAUUAGUUGUUUUGAUUGUUGAUGGUAAUUGAUAAUUCAAAGUUUAAUAGUUAGUUUCGGGUUAGGAUUUGAGUUUGAACCUAGUGUUAGCUGAUUAAACUUACUGAUUGGUUGCUUAAAUAGGGUCAGACAAUAAGGUCGGGGUGGGUUAGUAACUUCAGGUUAAUGAAAAGGGUAAUUUAGGGAGACUCACUACGGGACUGAAUUUAGAAGCUACUAGAGGAUCCUAGAAAGGGUGUUAGUUAAAAUUUCAGAUUCAUAGUUUGUUUACUUGUGUAAAAAGUUAAUAAUUAAGGGACUAAUUGGAUAAAUAGAUAGGGACUAAGAAGAAAACAAAACGCUGAAGGCUGCUCAUUGGUGCCUAUAAAGGCAUCAGAAUAGCCUUGAAUACGGGUCUUCUUUUUCAGCCCAAAAUGCCCUCCAGAAUCCUACUUCAAUUUCACAUCUGAAAAUUUCAAUUGGAAUUCAAAGUCCCUUUUAGAUCUCAGCCUUUUUAGAAGAAAAAUCAGAAAAGCAAUCAAAAGAUAUAGAAAGAUGAAAACUCAAAAAAAAACUUUACUGUUCCAUUGAAAUUGGAAGUUGAUUUCAAUUUUUGGUUACUGAUUCACCUUCUGCAAUUGUUACUUCUGUCUGUUGAAGUGUAGAGGUUCAUUUGGAGUUUAAGUUAGUGUUCUAAAUCUGGUCAUUGGUAUUCAUUUCUGGGUCGUUAGCUGCUGUGUGGAGUUCAUUUACUGGUUUUCCUUUAGAUUUGAAUGACUCCUGAACUGCUGGUCAUUGCUGUUGAAUCUGCUGCUGUUGAAUAGUUUAUUUCAGUAAAUUUGACCUCUUUUUCUUCUUCUUUUAAACAUUGAAUUCCAGGUACACAUUUCGAAUCACCUCGAUGUAAGUUGAAUUGGAAGUGUGCACCAGACCUGCAUUUGGUGUUAUCUGUUGUCUCUGAUUCAAUAAAUGUUAAAUGAAAUAGAAGUAGUUCAUAUUAGCUCUGGUUUAUAUUGUGCUAAAUAAUAGAAAUGUGACUGUGUAAUUGGAACUUCCUUAGGCGGAUUUGGACUGUGUCAGUUAUUAUUGGUAACAGACUGUUAAAUCAUCCAGGAAACUUAUGUUCAGUAGCUAGUCGAACCAUUAAUUUUCAUUAGCUAUAAUUAGUUUAGUGUGUUUGUUCUGUUUAAACUUUCAAAGUUAGAAAAUAACUUGACUUAGCAUUCUCCUUUUGAAUAUGUGAAAUUGUGCUUGCAUCAAUAGUUGUUGAUUGAAUUGGUAAUAACAGGCACGCAAAUGUCGAGCUAGGACGUUUUUGUAUGGCAGUAGUUACCAGAUAUUUAAUGAACUGUUAAUUGAUUCAUGUUUUCCUAGUCGAAUUCAAAACCAAUGGGUGUUUAGGUCGUUGAUUAACGUUGGAAUUGAUAAAUCAUAGUUGAUAUUGCUAAUUGUUGGUGGGAAGCAUUACUGAAAUCAAGCACGAUUAGUUUGUCUUUUUUCACGUAAAAGGUUGAACAUAGUUAUUCUGCCCAGCUAAUGUAAAUUGCAUUUUUUUUAGUUUGAAACUCUGUGAUUUCAAUUGUCCUUGUCAAUUUCAAAUGAAGUGGAUAAUAGUUAGCAGCCAAUUAAAUCGUGGGUCUGUUAGCUUCAGGGGAUAGAUCAUUUGAUCUCCCUAGGCAGCCUAUUUUGCUUUGUCCUUUCGGGCUUCCUCGAGGCCCACUUGUUGCAAUUAAUUCACAUACAGAACCAUUUGGUAACUAAGUUGGGCUUGUUUCAGA
rnacentral:lncRNA from 1 species